rnacentral:rRNA from 1 species
AGCGUACACGGUGGAUGCCCUGGCAGUCAGAGGCGAUGAAGGGCGUGCUAAUCUGCGAUAAGCGCCGGUAAGGUGAUAUGAACCGUUAUAACCGGCGAUACCCGAAUGGGGAAACCCAGUGUGACUCGUCACACUAUCAUUAACUGAAUCCAUAGGUUAAUGAGGCGAACCGGGGGAACUGAAACAUCUAAGUACCCCGAGGAAAAGAAAUCAACCGAGAUUCCCCCAGUAGCGGCGAGCGAACGGGGAGGAGCCCAGAGCCUGAAUCAGCAUGUGUGUUAGUGGAAGCGUCUGGAAAGGCGCGCGAUACAGGGUGACAGCCCCGUACACAAAAGCGCAUGUGCUGUGAGCUCGAUGAGUAGGGCGGGACACGUGGUAUCCUGUCUGAAUAUGGGGGGACCAUCCUCCAAGGCUAAAUACUCCUGACUGACCGAUAGUGAACCAGUACCGUGAGGGAAAGGCGAAAAGAACCCCGGCGAGGGGAGUGAAAAAGAACCUGAAACCGUGUACGUACAAGCAGUGGGAGCNGCUUUGGGGUGGGGUGACUGCGUACCUUUUGUAUAAUGGGUCAGCGACUUAUAUUCUGUAGCAAGGUUAACCGAAUAGGGGAGCCGGAGGGAAACCGAGUCUUAAUUGGGCGUUAAGUUGCAGGGUAUAGACCCGAAACCCGGUGAUCUAGCCAUGGGCAGGUUGAAGGUUGGGUAACACUAACUGGAGGACCGAACCGACUAAUGUUGAAAAAUUAGCGGAUGACCUGUGGCUGGGGGUGAAAGGCCAAUCAAACCGGGAGAUAGCUGGUUCUCCCCGAAAGCUAUUUAGGUAGCGCCUCGUGAAUUCAUCUCCGGGGGUAGAGCACUGUUUCGGCUAGGGGGCCAUCCCGGCUUACCAACCCGAUGCAAACUGCGAAUACCGGAGAAUGUUAUCACGGGAGACACACGGCGGGUGCUAACGUCCGUCGUGAAGAGGGAAACAACCCAGACCGCCAGCUAAGGUCCCAAAGUCAUGGUUAAGUGGGAAACGAUGUGGGAAGGCCCAGACAGCCAGGAUGUUGGCUUAGAAGCAGCCAUCAUUUAAAGAAAGCGUAAUAGCUCACUGGUCGAGUCGGCCUGCGCGGAAGAUGUAACGGGGCUAAACCAUGCACCGAAGCUGCGGCAGCGACGCUUAUGCGUUGUUGGGUAGGGGAGCGUUCUGUAAGCCUGUGAAGGUGGCCUGUGAGGGUUGCUGGAGGUAUCAGAAGUGCGAAUGCUGACAUAAGUAACGAUAAAGCGGGUGAAAAGCCCGCUCGCCGGAAGACCAAGGGUUCCUGUCCAACGUUAAUCGGGGCAGGGUGAGUCGACCCCUAAGGCGAGGCCGAAAGGCGUAGUCGAUGGGAAACGGGUUAAUAUUCCCGUACUUGGUGUUACUGCGAAGGGGGGACGGAGAAGGCUAUGUUGGCCGGGCGACGGUUGUCCCGGUUUAAGCGUGUAGGUGUGUGUUCCAGGUAAAUCCGGUUCACUUUAACACUGAGGCGUGAUGACGAGGCACUACGGUGCUGAAGCAACAAAUGCCCUGCUUCCAGGAAAAGCCUCUAAGCAUCAGGUAACAUCAAAUCGUACCCCAAACCGACACAGGUGGUCAGGUAGAGAAUACCAAGGCGCUUGAGAGAACUCGGGUGAAGGAACUAGGCAAAAUGGUGCCGUAACUUCGGGAGAAGGCACGCUGACANGUAGGUGAAGUGAUUUACUCAUGGAGCUGAAGUCAGUCGAAGAUACCAGCUGGCUGCAACUGUUUAUUAAAAACACAGCACUGUGCAAACACGAAAGUGGACGUAUACGGUGUGACGCCUGCCCGGUGCCGGAAGGUUAAUUGAUGGGGUCAGCGCAAGCGAAGCUCCUGAUCGAAGCCCCGGUAAACGGCGGCCGUAACUAUAACGGUCCUAAGGUAGCGAAAUUCCUUGUCGGGUAAGUUCCGACCUGCACGAAUGGCGUAAUGAUGGCCAGGCUGUCUCCACCCGAGACUCAGUGAAAUUGAACUCGCUGUGAAGAUGCAGUGUACCCGCGGCAAGACGGAAAGACCCCGUGAACCUUUACUAUAGCUUGACACUGAACAUUGAGCCUUGAUGUGUAGGAUAGGUGGGAGGCUUUGAAGNAUCCGGGUUGCGGACAGUGUCUGGUGGGUAGUUUGACUGGGGCGGUCUCCUCCUAAAGAGUAACGGAGGAGCACGAAGGUUGGCUAAUCCUGGUCGGACAUCAGGAGGUUAGUGCAAUGGCAUAAGCCAGCUUGACUGCGAGCGUGACGGCGCGAGCAGGUGCGAAAGCAGGUCAUAGUGAUCCGGUGGUUCUGAAUGGAAGGGCCAUCGCUCAACGGAUAAAAGGUACUCCGGGGAUAACAGGCUGAUACCGCCCAAGAGUUCAUAUCGACGGCGGUGUUUGGCACCUCGAUGUCGGCUCAUCACAUCCUGGGGCUGAAGUAGGUCCCAAGGGUAUGGCUGUUCGCCAUUUAAAGUGGUACGCGAGCUGGGUUUAGAACGUCGUGAGACAGUUCGGUCCCUAUCUGCCGUGGGCGCUGGAGAACUGAGGGGGGCUGCUCCUAGUACGAGAGGACCGGAGUGGACGCAUCACUGGUGUUCGGGUUGUCAUGCCAAUGGCACUGCCCGGUAGCUAAAUGCGGAAGAGAUAAGUGCUGAAAGCAUCUAAGCACGAAACUUGCCCCGAGAUGAGUUCU